CCCUGCAUUUACAAGUAAUUAUGGGCUACCCACGCCCUUAUCACUGGCAGUGCAGGGAGAAAAAUUGCCAAAGGCCUUUACCUGCAUUGGGAGGGUCUACUCUUUUCUACUCAAACUCUAGAGCUUUCCUACA